AAGUCGUAACAAGGUUUUGCUAAGCAGCAGUCCUUCUGUAGCAGAGCUUAACGGAGACCUUGCACCCGAGAGGGGGGAGGCGACUAUAAACAAGUCCCAGCGCAAGUCAGCACUAGCUGGCAACACAAUCGAACUGCGGGGACGCUUUAAAGCCCAGUGGUACCAACCCUCCGUGACCGGAGGGGGCGGGCAUCGCCCGAGGUCAGAACCCACUGAGAUGUACAAUAAGCAAUCCGCAGCGGUCCGAUCGGACCGUUCACAGACUAAGUGGUUGUGGGGAGCCUGCUCCUUAAGAUAUAGUCGGGCCCGGCGGGCAGUCGCCGGGGGUUCUGCGUCCGUAGGUGAACCUGCGGAAGGAUCAUUACAAGUGAGGCCGCCGAACACCGGUCAAACGGUGGGUAGGCGGCUAACACCCACCCGUGUCUACAUACUCUUGUUGCUUGGCGGGCCGUGGCCUCCACUGCGGGCUCUGCUCUGCUCGCGUGUGCCCGCCAGAGGACCAAACUCUGAACGUUAGUGAUGUCUGAGUACUAUCUAAUAGUUAAAA
rnacentral:misc_RNA from 1 species